AAGCGGUGGAGCAUGUGGUUAAUUCGAUGCAACGCGAAGAACCUUACCUACCCUUGACAUGGUCGGAAUCCCGCAGAGAUGUGGGAGUGCUCGAAAGAGAACCGGCACACAGGUGCUGCAUGGCUGUCGUCAGCUCGUGUCGUGAGAUGUUGGGUUAAGUCCCGCAACGAGCGCAACCCUUGUCAUUAGUUGCUACGAAAGGGCACUCUAAUGAGACUGCCGGUGACAAACCGGAGGAAGGUGGGGAUGACGUCAAGUCCUCAUGGCCCUUAUGGGUAGGGCUUCACACGUCAUACAAUGGUCGGUACAGAGGGCUGCCAACCCGCAAGGGGGAGCCAAUCCCUUAAAACCGAUCGUAGUCCGGAUUGAGGUCUGCAACUCGACCUCAUGAAGUCGGAAUCGCUAGUAAUCGCGGAUCAGCAUGUCGCGGUGAAUACGUUCCCGGGUCUU
rnacentral:rRNA from 1 species